CAGCUAGUUGGUGGGGUAAAGGCCUACCAAGGCAUCGAUCAGUAGCUGGUCUGAGAGGACGACCAGCCACACUGGAACUGAGACACGGUCCAGACUCCUACGGGAGGCAGCAGUGGGGAAUUUUGGACAAUGGGCGAAAGCCUGAUCCAGCAAUGCCGCGUGAGUGAAGAAGGCCUUCGGGUUGUAAAGCUCUUUUGUCAGGGAAGAAACGGUGAGGGCUAAUAUCCUUUGCUAAUGACGGUACCUGAAGAAUAAGCACCGGCUAACUACGUGCCAGCAGCCGCGGUAAUACGUAGGGUGCAAGCGUUAAUCGGAAUUACUGGGCGUAAAGCGUGCGCAGGCGGUUUUGUAAGUCUGUCGUGAAAUCCCCGGGCUCAACCUGGGAAUUGCGAUGGAGACUGCAAGGCUAGAAUCUGGCAGAGGGGGGUAGAAUUCCACGUGUAGCAGUGAAAUGCGUAGAGAUGUGGAGGAACACCGAUGGCGAAGGCAGCCCCCUGGGUCAAGAUUGACGCUCAUGCACGAAAGCGUGGGGAGCAAACAGGAUUAGAUACCCUGGUAGUCCACGCCCUAAACGAUGUCUACUAGUUGUCGGGUUUUAAUUAACUUGGUAACGCAGCUAACGCGUGAAAUAGACCGCCUGGGG
rnacentral:rRNA from 1 species